rnacentral:rRNA from 1 species
AGAGUUUGAUCAUGGCUCAGAAUCAACGCUGGCGGCGUGCCUAACACAUGCAAGUCGAACGCGAAAGGGGCUUCGGCCCUGAGUAGAGUGGCGAACGGGUGAGUAACGCGUGGGUGACCUACCCUUGAGUGGGGGAUAACGUUCCGAAAGGGACGCUAAUACCGCAUGACAUUCCGGGUUCGAAGACCUGGAAAUCAAAGCCGGGGACCGCAAGGCCUGGCGCUCGAGGAGGGGCCCGCGUCUGAUUAGCUAGUUGGCGGGGUAAUGGCCCACCAAGGCGACGAUCAGUAGCCGGCCUGAGAGGGCGGACGGCCACACUGGGACUGAGACACGGCCCAGACUCCUACGGGAGGCAGCAGUGGGGAAUUGUUCGCAAUGGGCGCAAGCCUGACGACGCAACGCCGCGUGGAGGAUGAAGGUCUUCGGAUUGUAAACUCCUGUUGAUCGGGACGAAAAGCUUCGACCUAACACGUCGAGGACUGACGGUACCG